GACGCCAUCUCGGAAUCUUCUAUAAAUUGGCAAUAAAUAUUCUUGAAACAGAAAAAAACAUUCUCUACAAUAAGACCUUCUAAUGAAACUCAUUCUUCCACCCUGAUCAACAUCAGAAGUGUACCAUGAU
rnacentral:lncRNA from 1 species